GGGAGCGUAGCUCAGAUGGUAGAGCUUUCGCUUAGCAUGCGAAAGGUAUCGGGAUCGAUACCCCACGCCUCCA